rnacentral:rRNA from 1 species
UGGGGAAUAUUGGACAAUGGGCGCAAGCCUGAUCCAGCCAUGCCGCGUGAGUGAUGAAGGCCCUAGGGUUGUAAAGCUCUUUCACCGGUGAAGAUAAUGACGGUAACCGGAGAAGAAGCCCCGGCUAACUUCGUGCCAGCAGCCGCGGUAAUACGAAGGGGGCUAGCGUUGUUCGGAUUUACUGGGCGUAAAGCGCACGUAGGCGGACUAUUAAGUCAGGGGUGAAAUCCCGGGGCUCAACCCCGGAACUGCCUUUGAUACUGGUAGUCUUGAGUUCGAGAGGGGUGAGUGGAAUUCCGAGUGUAGGGGUGAGAUUCGUAGAUAUUCGGAGGAACACCAGUGGCGAAGGCGGCUCACUGGCUCGAUACUGACGCUGAGGUGCGAAAGCGGGGGGAGCAAACAGG